rnacentral:rRNA from 1 species
GUAGGGAAUCUUCCACAAUGGACGCAAGUCUGAUGGAGCAACGCCGCGUGAGUGAAGAAGGUCUUCGGAUCGUAAAGCUCUGUUGUUGGUGAAGAAGGAUAGAGGCAGUAACUGGUCUUUAUUUGACGGUAAUCAACCAGAAAGUCACGGCUAACUACGUGCCAGCAGCCGCGGUAAUACGUAGGUGGCAAGCGUUGUCCGGAUUUAUUGGGCGUAAAGCGAGCGCAGGCGGAAUGAUAAGUCUGAUGUGAAAGCCCACGGCUCAACCGUGGAACUGCAUCGGAAACUGUCAUUCUUGAGUGCAGAAGUGGAGAGUGGAACUCCAUGUGUAGCGGUGGAAUGCGUAGAUAUAUGGAAGAACACCAGUGGCGAAGGCGGCUCUCUGGUCUGCAACUGACGCUGAGGCUCGAAAGCAUGGGUAGCGAACAGGAUUAGAUACCCUUGUAGUCC